CUUUGAAAAAAAGAUCAAUAAUUACAAAAAAUUCAAUCAAAAUUUAAGCAAGUUUUAUAUGGUUAUUAUAAAGUUGUGUUAGAACAUUAUUAUAGAUGUUCUUGUAAAAAUUGUUUUCUCUGUACAGGGCAGAGUUUCCUGCUCUUUUUAUCGCAAAAUCGAUUUGCUGCUAAAUCUAAAUCGGUGAAUUUCCCGCAUAAUUGAUGUCGGGGCAGGACGGCCCAUCCCUUUCACUGGCUGCGGGUUAAUCUGCAUGUGGUGCGACUACUGCAGGCGGAGUGUCCUUGCUCUGGAUCUGAAUACAUUCGCACUCACAUCUCACAUCUGUAUCUGAGUACCUACGCCCGAGGUUCCGUCUGCACCAUGAACGCAAUCAGUGCCUAAUGAUCCGUACAGCAAUUGGAUUAGUGCCUGCCAUCCCGAAGGGAAAACUUGUCUGCUGAAGGACGCCGUAAAUCAGGACUGGGAACACUAACUACGAUGCCGAUUUACAUGUGGAAGAGGCGUAGAAUAGGCUGCUGAUGUUCAAACGAUUAAAUCACUUACCAUACUCAAACUAUUGUAAUCAAGGGAAAAAAGAGUUCCAUAGUUUUAAAUGGAAGAAAUGUAUUUAUAUGGUCACCUAAUUCAAAGAAAUUUAAUGUAAAGUCCAUAAAUCUUUAGAAAAACU